AAAGUCAUACCAGAAUGUUUUACUGGUUUCAUUUAUGUUAUUGAAAGAGCUUUGUCAAAAUUUCAGGUCCAGUGUUAAAUUUUAUAGUUUUUUCAGUCAAUAUAGCUACAGUCAUCUGAAGUCAUUUACCUCUUUUUCACACAAUGAGUUUAUAAGCAGUUUGUUUGGGAAAACACUAUUGCAACAAAAGGCUAUCGCAAUGCUGCUUAACACAAAAAAAAAAUCUACAAAAAAAUCAAAACAUAUAUCAGGAAAUAUGGUCAAACAUUGCCAAAACUUAUUUACUUUUUUUGUUAUGACAAAGUAUCUGCUGCAAAAAUAAUAAUAGAUGUAAAGAUUUUUGCUUUCAUUGAAAUAGUUUUCCCUCGUCUGAAUUGAUAUAACUGAUUUCAUUAGAUUAAUUAAACAACAUAAUUUAUUAUAUGAUUAAUUCCAUCAUUUGAACUGGAAAUGUGUACAUUCUGGUCUUUUGUCAUGGACCAGUUUGUACUAUGAAAAAUUCUUGAAUACUGACUUUCAAUUACAACUGUGAAAAAUUCAUGAACAUUGACUUAAACAUGUUGGCAUGAUUCUAUGAUUUUUGGCCAUAUUUACAUCAAACACUCCAGUGCUUCCUUCCCAUGACCACUCUAGCAGAAAUUCCGAGUGGCAUAUUCAAAACCAUACUCGUACAGUACGUCCAAGAUGAAAAGUCAAUUUUUCGCGCGACCUCGGUGACAAAAAACGAUUGACUGUGUCCUUUUGCUAGCACAUCGAAACGGACACCGAGUCCGUUAUCGGCUGCCUAGCGAUCGGCAGGACACGGUGCGUCGCGGUGUACAAUUGCGGUGAUUCUCCGUGUUCAGAUCGUCUCAAUUAAUCCCGUUUUUGAUUGUAGGAAGAUAAUUUUUGCUCCUAUAUUUUGUUUUAACAAUACUGUUUUCUGUUUUCAGGUGAACACUAAGCUUAUAAGAUGUGUACACAUCAACUACUUGUAUAUAAAAAAUAGAAGAGAAAAAAAAACAGAAGUGAAGUUUCGGAGCAAGACGCGGUUGUGGCUAGUAAUACGGUCCCGCACGGUCCUAAAGCUAGUCAUACGUGAGGCACGUUCAGCUAGACAGUCUUGCUUGGACUACAAGAGUAGUGAUAAUCACAUACGACUAGAUUUUUGGCCGUCGUGCGGGACUGUUCACUACAGGAUGUUUUAAAGCUGCUAAUAAAUAUGUAUCAUUUCCAUAUGGUUUAUAAUAAAUAAUGAAAGCGUAAA
rnacentral:lncRNA from 1 species